CCUACGGGAGACAGCAGUGGGGAAUAUUGCACAAUGGGGGAAACCCUGAUGCAGCGACGCCGCGUGAGUGAAGCAGUAUUUCGGUACGUAAAGCUCUAUCAGCAGGGAAGAAAAUGACGGUACCUGACUAAGAAGCCCCGGCUAACUACGUGCCAGCAGCCGCGGUAAUACGUAGGGGGCAAGCGUUAUCCGGAUUUACUGGGUGUAAAGGGAGCGUAGACGGCAGCGCAAGUCUGGAGUGAAAUCCCAUGGCUUAACCAUGGAACUGCUUUGGAAACUGUGCAGCUAGAGUGCAGGAGAGGUAAGCGGAAUUCCUAGUGUAGCGGUGAAAUGCGUAGAUAUUAGGAGGAACACCAGUGGCGAAGGCGGCUUACUGGACUGUAACUGACGUUGAGGCUCGAAAGCGUGGGGAGCAAACAGGAUUAGAUACCCUUGUAGUC
rnacentral:rRNA from 1 species